rnacentral:rRNA from 2 species
UGGCUCAGAUUGAACGCUGGCGGCAGGCCUAACACAUGCAAGUCGAGCGGUAGAGAGAAGCUUGCUUCUCUUGAGAGCGGCGGACGGGUGAGUAAUGCCUAGGAAUCUGCCUGGUAGUGGGGGAUAACGUUCGGAAACGAACGCUAAUACCGCAUACGUCCUACGGGAGAAAGCAGGGGACCUUCGGGCCUUGCGCUAUCAGAUGAGCCUAGGUCGGAUUAGCUAGUUGGUGAGGUAAUGGCUCACCAAGGCGACGAUCCGUAACUGGUCUGAGAGGAUGAUCAGUCACACUGGAACUGAGACACGGUCCAGACUCCUACGGGAGGCAGCAGUGGGGAAUAUUGGACAAUGGGCGAAAGCCUGAUCCAGCCAUGCCGCGUGUGUGAAGAAGGUCUUCGGAUUGUAAAGCACUUUAAGUUGGGAGGAAGGGCAGUUACCUAAUACGUGAUUGUUUUGACGUUACCGACAGAAUAAGCACCGGCUAACUCUGUGCCAGCAGCCGCGGUAAUACAGAGGGUGCAAGCGUUAAUCGGAAUUACUGGGCGUAAAGCGCGCGUAGGUGGUUUGUUAAGUUGGAUGUGAAAUCCCCGGGCUCAACCUGGGAACUGCAUUCAAAACUGACUGACUAGAGUAUGGUAGAGGGUGGUGGAAUUUCCUGUGUAGCGGUGAAAUGCGUAGAUAUAGGAAGGAACACCAGUGGCGAAGGCGACCACCUGGACUAAUACUGACACUGAG